rnacentral:rRNA from 1 species
AGAGUUGAUCCUGGCUCAGGACGAACGCUGGCGGCGUGCUUAACACAUGCAAGUCAACGGGGAUCAUGCUGGAAGGGUUUCGGCCUGGAAGGUAUGAUUCCAGUGGCGGACGGGUGAGUAACGCGUGAACAAUCUGUCCCAGACAGGGGAAUAACACUUGGAAACAGGUGCUAAUACCGCAUGAGACCACAGAUGGGCAUCCAUCCGAGGUAAAAGGAGGAAUCCGGUUUGGGGUGAGUUCGCGUCCGAUUAGAUAGUUGGUGAGGUAACGGCCCACCAAGUCGACGAUCGGUAGCCGACCUGAGAGGGUGAUCGGCCACAUUGGAACUGAGAGACGGUCCAAACUCCUACGGGAGGCAGCAGUGGGGAAUAUUGGGCAAUGGGCGAAAGCCUGACCCAGCAACGCCGCGUGAGCGAAGAAGGCUUUCGGGUUGUAAAGCUCUGUUAUAGGGGACGAAGGAAGUGACGGUACCCUAUAAGGAAGCCCCGGCUAACUACGUGCC